CCUACGGGAGGCAGCAGUGGGGGAUAUUGCACAAUGGGGGAAACCCUGAUGCAGCGACGCCGCGUGGGUGAAGAAGUAUUUCGGUAUGUAAAGCCCUAUUAGCAGGGAAGAAAGAAGACGGUACCUGACUAAGAAGCCCCGGCUAACUACGUGCCAGCAGCCGCGGUAAUACGUAGGGGGCGAGCGUUAUCCGGAUUCACUGGGUGUAAAGGGAGCGUAGACGGCCGUGCAAGCCAGGAGUGAAAGCCCGGGGCCCAACCCCGGGACUGCUCUUGGAACUGUGCGGCUGGAGUGCGGGAGGGGCAGGCGGAAUUCCUGGUGUAGCGGUGAAAUGCGUAGAUAUCAGGAGGAACACCGGCGGCGAAGGCAGCCUGCUGGACCGCGACUGACGUUGAGGCUCGAAAGCGUGGGGAGCGAACAGGAUUAGAUACCCCAGUAGUC
rnacentral:rRNA from 1 species